rnacentral:lncRNA from 1 species
AGUUUUCAACAUUUUUGAAAACUUAAAGUUUUUGAAUUCAAAUUUUAAACUUGAAACCAGUAGCCUUUUGCAUUUAUUUAAAAUGCCAAAUGUGUUAAUAAAAUGGUUUUCUUCAUUGCUUAUUUGCUUUCAAGAAAUAUCACAAAAGUUGAACUUUUCUUGAGGCCAUUUUGGGUUCAUUGAUUUGAACAAGUUUAUAAUUUCUUUGAAUUUGAGAAGUGGCUAGGGUUUUUGAGUUUUUCUUCACCACUAGCUUUGUUCUUGUUGAAAUUUUCUUGGAUGCAAUGCAAAGAAGAUAUGAGCACAAUGCUAACUUGAUUAGGGUUUCAGGGAUGUGACGACUCACCCCCACUCAAAAGAAUCUCGUCCCGAGAUUUAGAAGUCGUCGGAAAUAACGCGGGAUACUCAAGUCGGAGACGAUCCUCUCUUUCCCAUGUUGCCUCCUUUUCAGAAUGAUUUGACCAUCGAACUUUAAGAAACUUGAGGUUUCGACAUCGAGUGGUACGCUCAGCUUUAUCAAGAAUACGCACAGGGUAUUCUCGGUAUGAAAGGUUAUCUUGGAGAU